rnacentral:rRNA from 1 species
GUCAAAUCAUCAUGCCCCUUAUAUCCUGGGCUACACACGUACUACAAUGGCGGCCAUACAAAGCGAGGCAAAGCCGCGAGGUGGAGCAAAUCGCAAAAAGCCGCCCCAGUUCGGAUCGCAGGCUGAAACCCGCCUGCGUGAAGUCGGAAUUGCUAGUAAUCGCGGAUCAGCAUGCCGCGGUGAAUACGUUCCCGGGCCUU